UCCGCUUGCUCUCACCGUAAU
rnacentral:piRNA from 1 species